rnacentral:rRNA from 1 species
GGGGAAUAUUGGACAAUGGGCGAAAGCCUGAUCCAGCAAUGCCGCGUGAGUGAUGAAGGCCUUAGGGUUGUAAAGCUCUUUUACCCGGGAUGAUAAUGACAGUACCGGGAGAAUAAGCCCCGGCUAACUCCGUGCCAGCAGCCGCGGUAAUACGAAGGGGGCUAGCGUUGCUCGGAAUUACUGGGCGUAAAGCGCACGUAGGUGGCGAUUCAAGUUAGAUGUGAAAGGCCCGGGCUCAACCCGGGAACUGCAUUUGAUACUGAAUUGCUAGAGUCCAAGAGAGGGUAGUGGAAUUCCCAGUGUAGAGGUGAAAUUCGUAGAUAUUGGGAAGAACACCAGUGGCGAAGGCGGCUACCUGGCUUGGUACUGACACUGAGGUGCGAAAGCGUGGGGAGCGAA